rnacentral:sRNA from 1 species
CACAGGGUGCGGACCAGAAAGAGCAGACGGUCAGUCGGGCGGGGAAGGAAGUUGCCGAGUUGCAGAGGCUGCCUACCACAAGAACUUUAGCUUACUUUUUAAAGAUUGAAGAAAAAAAAAGAAGACAGAAAAAGAAGAACUCAAAGAUACACAAAGUAAUUUGACCAAGGCUCAGAAGUUUUUGGAGCCGUGAGGGAUACAGCAGUUUGGUCAAUAUUGUCUUAACA